GAGUUUGAUCCGGCUCAGGAUGAACGCUAGCGGGAGGCCUAACACAUGCAAGUCGAACGGGAUUGGGAGCUUGCUCCCAUGAGAGUGGCGCACGGGUGAGUAACGCGUAUGCAACCUGCCUAUAACAGAGGGAUAGCCCAUAGAAAUGUGGAUUAAUACCUCAUAGUCCUUACGAACCGCAUGGUUUUUAAGGUAAAACCCCGGUGGUUAUAGAUGGGCAUGCGUGACAUUAGCUAGUUGGUGAGGUAACGGCUCACCAAGGCGACGAUGUCUAGGGGUUCUGAGAGGAUGAUCCCCCACACUGGUACUGAGACACGGACCAGACUCCUACGGGAGGCAGCAGUGAGGAAUAUUGGUCAAUGGGCGCAUGCCUGAACCAGCCAUCCCGCGUGAAGGAUGAAGGUCCUAUGGAUUGUAAACUUCUUUUAUACACCAAGAAAAACACCCACGUGUGGGUGCCCGACGGUAGUGUAUGAAUAAGCAUCGGCUAACUCCGUGCCAGCAGCCGCGGUAAUACGGAGGAUGCAAGCGUUAUCCGGAUUCAUUGGGUUUAAAGGGUGCGUAGGCGGCUUUUUAAGUCAGUGGUGAAAUCCUGCCGCUUAACGGUAGAAUUGCCAUUGAUACUGAAAAGCUUGAGUACAAUUGAGGUAAGCGGAAUGUGUAGUGUAGCGGUGAAAUGCUUAGAUAUUACACAGAACACCAAUUGCGAAGGCAGCUUACUAAACUGUUUACUGACGCUGAUGCACGAAAGCGUGGGGAGCGAACGGGAUUA
rnacentral:rRNA from 1 species